UACGUAGGGUCCGAGCGUUGUCCGGAAUUAUUGGGCGUAAAGGGCUCGUAGGCGGUCCGUCACGUCGGGAGUGAAAACUCAGGGCUCAACCCUGAGCGUGCUUCCGAUACGGGCGGACUAGAGGUAUGCAGGGGAGAACGGAAUUCCUGGUGUAGCGGUGGAAUGCGCAGAUAUCAGGAGGAACACCGGUGGCGAGGGCGGUUCUCUGGGCAUUACCUGACGCUGAGGAGCGAAAGCAUGGGGAGCGAACAGG
rnacentral:rRNA from 1 species